rnacentral:rRNA from 1 species
AGAGUUUGAUUAUGGCUCGGGAUGAACGCUGGCGGCGUGCUUAACACAUGCAAGUCGAACGAAGCAUUCCAACUCUCGGAGGAAGAAAUGACUGAGUGGCGGACGGGUGAGUAACGCGUGGGUAACCUGCCUUAUACAGGGGGAUAACAGUUAGAAAUGACUGCUAAUACCGCAUAACCCGCUAGUACCGCAUGGUACAGACGGAAAAGAUUUAUCGGUAUAAGAUGGACCCGCGUCUGAUUAGCUAGUUGGUGAGGUAAUGGCUCACCAAGGCGACGAUCAGUAGCCGGCUUGAGAGAGUGAACGGCCACAUUGGGACUGAGACACGGCCCAAACUCCUACGGGAGGCAGCAGUGGGGAAUAUUGCACAAUGGGGGAAACCCUGAUGCCAGCAACGCCGCGUGAAGGAAGAAGUAUUUCGGUAUGUAAACUUCUAUCAGCAGGAAAGAAAAUGACGGUACCUGACUAAGAAGCCCCGGCUAACUACGUGCCAGCAGCUGC